rnacentral:rRNA from 1 species
AGCGAACGCUGGCGGCAGGCCUAACACAUGCAAGUCGAACGAAGUCUUCGGACUUAGUGGCGGACGGGUGAGUAACACGUGGGAACGUACCUUUUGGUUCGGAACAACUCAGGGAAACUUGAGUUAAUACCGGAUGAGCCCUUAGGGGGAAAGAUUUAUCGCCGAAAGAGCGGCCCGCGUUAGAUUAGCUAGUUGGUGAGGUAAAGGCUCACCAAGGCUACGAUCUAUAGCUGGUCUGAGAGGAUGAUCAGCCACACUGGGACUGAGACACGGCCCAGACUCCUACGGGAGGCAGCAGUGGGGAAUCUUGCGCAAUGGGCGAAAGCCUGACGCAGCCAUGCCGCGUGAAUGAUGAAGGUCUUAGGAUUGUAAAAUUCUUUUACCAGGGACGAUAAUGACGGUACCUGGAGAAAAAGCCCCGGCUAACUUCGUGCCAGCCGCCGCCGUAAUAC